rnacentral:sRNA from 1 species
GCAUCUGUCAGCUCUUUGACAACAACGGCCAUGGAAGGCCUUUGGCUUGCCUCCUUUGCUGUGCAUCUAAGAGCUAAUGACAACAGCUUGCGCACUUCUUCCAUUUCAUGUGUUCCAUAUACUUCAGUAAUGAGAGCUGGGUCGCAAAUAGUUUCGAUCUGAUUAGUCUCAUUCAACUUGGAGGAUACCCAGCUAACUAUGUCCAUGUUGCCAGGGAAUGAGGAAUCCACAGCCAUCUUUCUGGUGAUCAACUCAAGUAAUACCACACCGUAACUGUACACAUCGAAUUCUGUGGUAGCCUUGGUUGAAAAGGCCAUUUCUGAAAGAAACCAUACAAGGGUGACAGUCAUUAUGGAGAUAUGCUAGACCAUGGGCUGUUCCAAGAGCUAUGCUGUAGCGGAUGCUCCAGUCCAAAGUUGGAGUGGGCUCAGUCCCAUGCAACACAUCAUACAGGCUACCAUUCUCCAUAAAAUCAUAUAGGAUCACAAGCUUCUUUACAGCAUAUACUUCUCCUGACCUCAGUACUGCCUUGUAGACAAUUCCAUGGGCCCCGGAACCGAUAAUGUACUUGUUAUUGAAGUUUUCAGUCACUUCUACAGCCUCAUUUAAUUUAGAAGAAGAUCCUUGAAAUAAUAUACCUAAAUCACUGUUAAUCUUAGGCUUGAAAUUAUAUUUUAGAAGGACACAGAGUAUCAGAAAUGCACCAGCAAAAACCGAACCAAGAACUAUCAUAGCAACCUUGAGUGGUGUGAGUGCACUUUUUUUACUCAUUGAACCACAAGGUCUCAAAACAUUAGAACCUGUGCAAGAUGAAUCAUUUUCAUGGCAAGAGAUACAUAGAUCUGCAUUUCCACUAAAUGAACUUGGAGUGGAAUUCAGAAACCUCACAAGAUUUUUUGGUACUGGUCCACUAAACAUGUUGUAGGAAACAUUCAAGAAAUACAAAAACUGUAGGUUUCCUAAUGAAGCAAGACCUCCGGUGAGGUUAUUAAAUGACAAAUCUAAACUCUGCAGCUCCACCAAAUUGCCUAGUGGUGGAAUGUCACCAACUAGUCCAUUUCUACUGAGGUUUAAUGCAAUGCCCAGUUUAACUAACUUUCCUAACGAUGAAGGGAUACUACCCCCAAGAAUGUUGCCACCAAGUUGCAGUUCAAUAAGCAUAUCCAACUGAGAUAAAGAAUCAGGUAUACCUCCACUGAAUUUAUUCUCCUGCAACCGUAGCUGUGACAGAAAUUUAAGGCUACUUACAGUUGUGAGUGCCGAACCGUUCAAAGAGUUGUAGCUCAAAUCAAGCUUAUAUAACUUGGAGCAUCCAGAAAUUUCCACAGGGAGUUCACCAUAUAGUCUGUUUCCUGAGAGGUUAAGACUACUUAAGUUCCCUAAGUUCCCAAUUUCUGAUGGUAUUAGACCAGCAAGCUUGUUCCAUGACCAGUUCACAAAUGUAACAUUGAUACAUUUGCUCAAGCUAGCAGGAAUGUCCCCACUUAAUAAAUUAUAGCUGAGAUCAAUAUAAUUAAGACUGCUACAAUUUACAAAUUGUGGAAUUGAUCCAAUGAGAUUAUUUUGGUUGAGAAUUACUCGUCUCAAAGUUGGGCAGUCAGCGAUACCAGAGGGGAUGCUACCAUUGAGAAGAUUUGAACCCAAGUUCAAAACUUC